CAGCCGCCGCGGUAAUACGUAGGUGGCAAGCGUUAUCCGGAAUUAUUGGGCGUAAAGCGCGCGUAGGCGGUUUUUUAAGUCUGAUGUGAAAGCCCACGGCUCAACCGUGGAGGGUCAUUGGAAACUGGAAAACUUGAGUGCAGAAGAGGAAAGUGGAAUUCCAUGUGUAGCGGUGAAAUGCGCAGAGAUAUGGAGGAACACCAGUGGCGAAGGCGACUUUCUGGUCUGUAACUGACGCUGAUGUGCGAAAGCGUGGGGAUCAAACAGGAUUAGAGACCCGAGUAGUCCCUGUCUCUUAUAC
rnacentral:rRNA from 1 species